ACAAAAGCUUUCUACAAAUGUGUUUCAUCUUCAGAGAAAUUUAUGGGAAGGAAUCUGACAAGGACUUUAGAAUACAGAUUUUUGAUAACUUUCAUAUCAUAUCAUGGGUGGCAGCCAAACCUCAGGGACUUAACCCUUGGACAUGCAUCUCACAAUUGAAAAAUGCUCCACCUGACAUACAGACUCUGGAGACCUUGCAGUCACAUUGAGGAGGAGGAGAAGUAGUUGACACAGAGGGCAAUACUUCUGUGUUCAGGAGUAAAUGUAAAUAUCAUCCAGAACCUAUCCUUAAAUCCUGAAGAUACUACAAAAUUUAUUGCUAAGACAAUAUCUGCCCAACAAAGAUCCUCAAACCCUCUGGCCAAACUUGUU